rnacentral:rRNA from 1 species
AGCGAACGCUGGCGGCAGGCCUAAACAUGCAAGUCGAACGCCGGUAGCAAUACGGGAGUGGCAGACGGUGAGUAACACGUGGGAACGUGCCCUUGGUUCGGAACAACACAGGGAACUUGUGCUAAUACCGGGAUAAGCCCCUUACGGGGAAAGAUUUAUCGCCAGAGGAUCGGCCGCGUCUGAUUAACUAGUUGGUGAGGUAACGGCUCACCAAGGCUACGAUCAGUAGCUGGUCUGAGA